rnacentral:rRNA from 1 species
GAUGAACGCUGGCGGCGUGCCUAACACAUGCAAGUCGUACGAGCUCGAUCUUCGGAACGGGUUAGUGGCGCACGGGUGAGUAACACGUAGGUGACCUACCCCAGAGUGGGGGAUAACUUCUCGAAAGAGAGGCUAAUACCGCAUACACUCGGUCAUUCAUUUGGCCGAGCAAAGCUCCGGCGCUUUGGGACGGGCCUGCGUCCGAUUAGCUAGUUGGUAGGGUAAUGGCUUACCAAGGCUUUGAUCGGUAGCUGGUCUGAGAGGACGAUCAGCCACACUGGCACUGACACACGGGCCAGACUCCUACGGGAGGCAGCAGUGAGGAAUAUUGGGCAAUGGGCGAAAGCCUGACCCAGCAACGCCGCGUGAGGGAUGAAGGCCUUCGGGUUGUAACCUCUUUCUGGGAGAAGAGACAAGGACGGUAUCCCAGGAAUAAGUCUCGGCUAACUACGUGCCAGCAGCCGCGGU